UACAGAGGGUGCGAGCGUUGUUCGGAAUUACUGGGCGUAAAGGGCGCGUAGGCGGUUUGGUAAGUCAGACGUGAAAUCCCCGAGCCUAACUCGGGACGUGCGUCUGAAACUGCCAGGCUAGAGUGCAGUAGAGGUUGGUGGAAUUCCCAGUGCAGAGGUGAAAUUCGUAGAUAUUGGGAGGAACACCGGUGGCGAAAGCGGCCAACUGGGCUGCAACUGACGCUGAGGCGCGAAAGCGUGGGUAGCAAACAGG
rnacentral:rRNA from 1 species